CACGUAGGGCGCGAGCGUUGUCCGGAAUUAUUGGACGUAAAGAGCUCGUAGGCGGCCUGUUGCGUCCGCUGUGAAAGCCCGGGGCUUAACCCCGGGUCGGCAGUGGAUACGGGCAGGCUAGAGGUAGGUAGGGGAGAAUGGAAUUCCCGGUGUAGCGGUGAAAUGCGCAGAUAUCGGGAGGAACACCGGUGGCGAAGGCGGUUCUCUGGGCCUUACCUGACGCUGAGGAGCGAAAGCGUGGGGAGCGAAC
rnacentral:rRNA from 1 species